rnacentral:rRNA from 1 species
AUUGAACGCUGGCGGCAUGCCUUACACAUGCAAGUCGAACGGUAACAGGUCUUCGGAUGCUGACGAGUGGCGAACGGGUGAGUAAUAUAUCGGAACGUGCCCAGUUGUGGGGGAUAACUACUCGAAAGAGUGGCUAAUACCGCAUACGACCUGAGGGUGAAAGCGGGGGAUCGCAAGACCUCGCGCAAUUGGAGCGGCCGAUAUCAGAUUAGGUAGUUGGUGGGGUAAAGGCUCACCAAGCCAACGAUCUGUAGCUGGUCUGAGAGGACGACCAGCCACACUGGGACUGAGCCACGGCCCAGACUCCUACGGGAGGCAGCAGUGGGGAAUUUUGGACAAUGGACGCAAGUCUGAUCCAGCCAUGCCGCGUGCGGGAAGAAGGCCUUCGGGUUGUAAACCGCUUUUGUCAGGGAAGAAAAGGGCGACUCUAAUACAGUUGCCUCAUGACGGUACCUGAAGAAUAAGCACCGGCUAACUACGUGCCAGCCGCCGCGGUAACAC